UUUUUUGGGCUUAAAAAUUGGAUUUUUAGGCUUUAAAUUUGGAUUUUUAGGCUUUAAAUUUGGAUUUUUU
ensembl:ncRNA Y94H6A.13 ncRNA